GAUGAACGCUGGCGGCGUGCUUAACACAUGCAGGUCGAACGGCAAGGCUCCUGCUUGCAGGGGUACUCGAGUGGCGAACGGGUGAGUAACACGUGGGUGAUCUGCCCUGCACUUCGGGAUAAGCCUGGGAAACUGGGUCUAAUACCGGAUAGGACGAUGGUUUGGAUGCCAUUGUUGAAAGUUUUUUCGGUGUGGGAUGGGCUCGCGGCCUAUCAGCUUGUUGGUGGGGUAAUGGCCUACCAAGGCGUCGACGGGUAGCCGGCCUGAGAGGGUGUACGGCCACAUUGGGACUGAGAUACGGCGCAGACUCCUACGGGAGGCAGCAGUGGGGAAUAUUGCACAAUGGGCGCAAGCCUGAUGCAGCGACGCCGCGUGGGGGAUGACGGCCUUCGGGUUGUAAACUCCUUUCGCUAGGGACGAAGCGCAAGUGACGGUACCUGGAGAAGAAGCACCGGCUAACUACGUG
rnacentral:rRNA from 1 species